UCAAGAAUAUUCCACAAUGCCCUAACGGGUGAUGGAGCGACGCCGCGUGCAGGAAGACGCCCUUCGGGGUGUAAACUGCUUUUAUUUGGGAAGAACAAAUGACGGUACCAAAUGAAUAAGGGGCUGCUAACUCUGUGCCAGCAGCAGCGGUAAUACAGAGGCCCCAAGCGUUAUCCGGAAUUACUGGGCGUAAAGCGUCCGCAGGCUGUUUGUUAAGUAUGUUGUCAAAUCUCAGGGCUCAACCCUGAGGCCGCAACGUAAACUGGCAAACUAGAGGGUGGGAGAGGCAUCUGGAAUUGUCGGUGUAGUAGUAAAAUGCGUUAAUAUCGACAGGAACACCAAAAGCGUAAGCAUGAUGCUAGAACACUCCUGACGCUCAGGGACGAAAGCGUGGGUAGCGAACGGGAUUAGAUACCCCGGUAGUCCACGCCGUAAACGAUGCGCACUAGACAUUGGUAGUUUCGACCCUAUCAGUGUCGGUGAACCAAGCUAACGCGUUAAGUG
rnacentral:rRNA from 1 species